UUCAAGACGGGUGGCUUAAGAUCAUUAUGCCAACAUCCUAGUCAAAAGACGCAGUCCUCGGUCUAGACAGGCAGUAUCAACCAAGGCUAUAACACUCCACCGAAGUAGAGCCACAUUCCUUAGUCAUUAUCCUACCAUCCAAACCGAUGCUGGCCCAGUAAGCUGCGAGGAACCCAACCAAGAAGGAAAGGAUCGCAAAAUACCAAGUCUGAUCUCAAGCCCUUCCCUUUCAACAAUUUCACGUACUUUUUCACUCUCUUUUCAAAGUUCUUUUCAUCUUUCCAUCACUGUACUUGUUCGCUAUCGGUCUCUCGCCAAUAUUUAGCUUUAGAUGGAAUUUACCACCCACUUAGAGCUGCAUUCCCAAACAACUCGACUCUUCGAAAGCACUUUACAUAGAAUUGGGCAUCUCAUCGCACGGGAUUCUCACCCUCUGUGACGUCCUGUUCCAAGGAACAUAGACAAGAGCCAACUCCAAAGUUACCUUCUUCAAAUUACAACUCGGACACCGAAGGUGCCAGAUUUCAAAUUUGAGCUUUUGCCGCUUCACUCGCCGUUACUAAGGCAAUCCCUGUUGGUUUCUUUUCCUCCGC
rnacentral:rRNA from 1 species